AACGAACGCUGGCGGCAUGCCUAACACAUGCAAGUCGAACGAGACCCCUGACUUCGGUUGGCGGGUCUAGUGGCGCACGGGUGCGUAACGCGUGGGAAUCUGCCCUUGGGUUCGGAAUAACUCAGAGAAAUUUGAGCUAAUACCGGAUGAUGACGAAAGUCCAAAGAUUUAUCGCCCAGGGAUGAGCCCGCGUAAGAUUAGCUUGUUGGUGGGGUAAUGGCCUACCAAGGCGACGAUCUUUAGCUGGUCUGAGAGGAUGAUCAGCCACACUGGGACUGAGACACGGCCCAGACUCCUACGGGAGGCAGCAGUGGGGAAUAUUGGACAAUGGGCGAAAGCCUGAUCCAGCCAUGCCGCGUGAGUGAUGAAGGCCUUAGGGUUGUAAAGCUCUUUCAGUAGGGAAGAUAAUGACGGUACCUACAGAAGAAGCCCCGGCUAACUUCGUGCCAGCAGCCGCGGUAAGGCACGACUGU
rnacentral:rRNA from 1 species